rnacentral:rRNA from 1 species
AUUGAACGCUGGCGGCAGGCCUAACACAUGCAAGUCGAGCGAGCGGCGGACGGGAGAGUAAUGUAUGGGGACUGCCCGAUAGCGGGGGAUAACUACUGGAAACGGUGGCUAAUACCGCAUACUAUCGGAUAACCCAUAUGGGAUUAGCUAGUAGGUGGGGUAAAGGCUAACCUAGGCGACGAUCUCUAGCUGGUCUGAGAGGAGGAUGAGCCACACUGGUACGGAGACACGGCCCAGACUCCUACGGAGGCAGCAGUGGGGAAUAUUGCACAAGGGGCGAAAGCCGGAUGAAGCCAGGCCGCGUGGAUGAAGAAGGCCUUAGGGUUGUAAAGUACUUUCAUCGGGGAGGCGUUACCCGCAGAAGAAGCACCGGCUAACUCCGUGCCAGCAGCCGCGGUAAUAC